UACGUAGGGUGCAAGCGUUGUCCGGAAUUAUUGGGCGUAAAGAGCUCGUAGGCGGUUCGUCGCGUCGGCUGUGAAAUCCCGAGGCUCAACCUCGGGUCUGCAAUCGAUACGGGCGGACUGGAGUUCGGCAGGGGAGACUGGAAUUCCUGGUGUAGCGGUGAAAUGCGCAGAUAUCAGGAGGAACACCGGUGGCGAAGGCGGGUCUCUGGGCCGAUACUGACGCUGAGGAGCGAAAGCGUGGGGAGCGAACAGG
rnacentral:rRNA from 1 species